CUGAAGUAAUAAACUAUUGCUUGAAACCUGCCUGUACAGUUCUUACAGGUGUCAGCUGCCUAUGAAGAAGGAGGUCCAUUCUGCUGGUAAUCAGAGAAUGGAUGAACAAAUAUGGGACACAAGCUCCGAUUUGACUGUCAUUUGAAUCUGAUUCCUUCCCACAUCCUGGUGAGAAAAAGUCAGUAACAGCCUGUGCAACCUGGCAGUUCUUUUUUGGAAGUACCAAAGACUGUUCCAAACAUCCGUCUCAGUCAGACACUGUGGAGAGUUCUUGCAACCAACCCAAGGAUGUAUUUGUGCAGAAUAUGGGUUUUAUGAGGUUGCUUUUUAUGAAUAUGACUGUAGGUCUUCUCUGGCUAAAUGUCCAAAAGUCCUGUUAUUGGAGUAUAUGUCCCCGUGAUCUUGCAAGUCAAACAUUGCUCCCAGUAAGAGGCAGACCAUUUAGUUAAUAAAUCGGCAGAUGUCCAAGGUAUUUCAAAGGAAUAGCUGUUAUUACUUUGGCAACAUUUAUCUGCACUGUGAUACCAAGGUAUA